UACGUAGGGGGCAAGCGUUGUCCGGAUUUAUUGGGCGUAAAGAGCGUGUAGGCGGCCGCACAGGUCCGUUGUGAAAACUGGAGGCUUAACCUUCAGACGUCGAUGGAAACCGUGCGGCUAGAGUCCGGAAGAGGAGAAUGGAAUUCCUGGUGUAGCGGUGAGAUGCGCAGAUAUCAGGAAGAACACCCGUGGCUAAGGCGGUUCUCUAGUACGGUACUGACGCUGAGACGCGAAAGCGUGGGGAGCGAACAGG
rnacentral:rRNA from 1 species